UAUGUAAACAAGUUAGUAGAAAUCUUGUACAACUUUGGAACAUUUAUUAAUGGUGUGUAUUUAUGUGUCAAUAUUUAUAUACAGGUCUAACGUGUGUCUUUGGACUUCCUGCAGCCUUGAAAAUCCCAAGUUCUUGGGAAAGAAAAAAAAAGGACCUAAUUUUAUAGUUGCCAAGUGUCUCAAAGGCUUACAACAUUUAGUGAAGGGGAAGUCUGGCCAGCACCUCUCUACAACGAGGCCCAUUUUAAAGGGUGAAAUCACCAGCAAGCAGAAAGGCAUGAAAAUACCGUGACUCCCUGUAAAUAGACCAGAAGAGCACAUGAUAUGAAACGAGAGUUGGGAAGGGCAGCUCAUGGUGUUUGAGGGGAGCUCACUGCCUAUGACGUGCCUCCAGUUGCCAUGAUUCGGAUCCCUCACCUGUCAGGGAGGAGCCGGGAAAGCGCUGUGUUCUGAGUUGGGCCUUGCAGAACCAUGGCUCCUGUGAAACAGAAAAACGUGUUGUGUCGGUUACCUUUCUACUGCUGUAAUAAAACUCCAUGAGCAAGG
rnacentral:sRNA from 1 species